rnacentral:rRNA from 1 species
CAGCAGCCGCGGUAAUACGUAGGUGGCAAGCGUUGUCCGGAAUUAUUGGGCGUAAAGGGCUCGCAGGCGGUUUCUUAAGUCUGAUGUGAAAGCCCCCGGCUCAACCGGGGAGGGUCAUUGGAAACUGGGAAACUUGAGUGCAGAAGAGGAGAGUGGAAUUCCACGUGUAGCGGUGAAAUGCGUAGAGAUGUGGAGGAACACCAGUGGCGAAGGCGACUCUCUGGUCUGUAACUGACGCUGAGACGCGAAAGCCAGGGGAGCGAACGGGAUUAGAUACCCGUGUAGUCCCUGUUCUCUUAUA